rnacentral:rRNA from 1 species
CAACGCGAAGAACCUCCCUUGGGCUUGACAUCCGGGGGAAAACCUUGGGAAAAAGGGGCCUUCCUUCGGGGCCCGUUCCCAGGUGUGCCAUGGCUUUGUUCAGUUCGUUUCGGGGAAUGUGGGGUUAAGUCCCCAAACAGGGCCAACCCCUUUCCUUGUUUCCCAGCGGGUAAGGCGGGGAAUUUUAGGAGACCUCCCGGUGCCAACCGGAAGAAAGGGGGGGAGGAGUCAAAUUCUCCUUGCCCCUAUGUCCCGGGGUUCCCCCCGUGUUCCAAGGGCGGUACAAAGGGGUGCCAAACCGGCAGGGGGAAGCCAUUCCCCAAAACCCGCCUCAGUUCGGAUUGUCGUCUGCAACUCGACGGCAUGAAGCUGGAAUCGCUAGU